CUCGUAGUGUAGCGGUUAACACGCCUGCCUGUCACGCAGGAGAUCGCGGGUUCGAUUCCCGUCGAGACCGCCA
rnacentral:tRNA from 1 species